GCCCCCAUCGUCUAGAGGCCCAGGACGUCGGGUUCUCAGCCCGAAAACCGGGGUUCGACUCCCCGUGGGGGUA
rnacentral:tRNA from 2 species